GUACAGGGAGGUUGAGCUACAGGAGGAAGAGGGGCGGGCACCCUCCUCAGGGUAUCAGUGGUGAUGUCGGGGGAGAGAAACCUGACCAGGAUCUUGGCGAUAAUUUUGGGGGCAGGAACCUUGUAGAUCAGGUUCUUGGUGAUCUUGUUGGGAACAAGAACCUUGCAGAGAGGUUCUUGGGGGCGAGAGCUAGCGGUUCUGGUGACGUUGCACUGCUGAUGAUAAGAGGGAGAAGAGGUAUGCGUAGGAUGGUGAGCAAUAGUUAGGAGAGAGAUGUUGUGAAGGCUGAGUGAUUGAGAGAGACAAAGGCAGGAGAGGACCGAGAAGAGGGGUGAAAGAGAGAAAGAGAGGGACCACCGGGCCAUUAAGAGGGCCAGGAAGAGGGAAGAAAAGGCGAUUGAGAGGGAGGAGAGGGCGAAUGAGAGGGAGGAGAGAGUCAUUAAAAGGGCCAAGGAGAGGGAUGCAAGAGACAGAGUCAGGAGAGGGUUGAGGUGAGGGGUGAAAGAGGGAAAGAAAAGCAGGAGAGAGCCGAGGAGAGGGGUGAAAGAUAGAAAGAGAGGGACGACAUGACCAUCGAGAGGGUAGGGAGAGGGAGGAAAAGGUGAAAGAGAGGGACGAGAGGGCCAAGGAGAGGGUGAAGAGGGUCAUUGAAAGGGCCAAGGAGAGGGAUGAAAGAGACAGAGAGGGACGAGGAGGGGUGAAAGAGAGAGAGAGGGACGACAGAGUCAUUGAGGGGCAGGGAGAGGGAGGAAAAGGCGAAGGAGAGGGCCAGGGAGAGAGGAGAGGGCUGUUGAAAGGGCUAAAGGAGGGGAUGAAAGAGACAAAGAGAGCCAGGAGAGGGGUGAAAGAGAGAAAGAGAGGGACGACAGGGUCAUUGAGAGGGGCAGGGAGAGGGAGGAGAGGGCCGUUGAAAGGGCCAAAGGAAGGGAUGAAAGAGACAAAUAGAGGCAGGAGAGGGCCGAGGAGAGGAGUGAAAGAGAGAGAGAGAGGGG